AAUAGAUACCCUGGUAGUCCACGCCGUAAACGAUGAGUGCUAAGUGUUAGAGGGUUUCCGCCCUUUAGUGCUGCAGCUAACGCAUUAAGCACUCCGCCUGGGGAGUACGGCCGCAAGGCUGAAACUCAAAGGAAUUGACGGGGGCCCGCACAAGCGGUGGAGCAUGUGGUUUAAUUCGAAGCAACGCGAAGAACCUUACCAGGUCUUGACAUCCUCUGACCUCCCUGGAGACAGGGCCUUCCCCUUCGGGGGACAGAGUGACAGGUGGUGCAUGGUUGUCGUCAGCUCGUGUCGUGAGAUGUUGGGUUAAGUCCCGCAACGAGCGCAACCCUUGACCUUAGUUGCCAGCAUUCAGUUGGGCACUCUAAGGUGACUGCCGGUGACAAACCGGAGGAAGGUGGGGAUGACGUCAAAUCAUCAUGCCCCUUAUGACCUGGGCUACACACGUGCUACAAUGGAUGGUACAAAGGGCUGCGAGACCGCGAGGUUAAGCCAAUCCCAGAAAACCAUUCCCAGUUCGGAUUGCAGGCUGACC
rnacentral:rRNA from 1 species